rnacentral:rRNA from 1 species
UACCAGCACCCCGAGUGGUCGGGACGUUUUAUUGGGCCUAAAGCAUCCGUAGCCGGUUCUACAAGUCUUCCGUUAAAUCCACCUGCUUAACAGAUGGGCUGCGGAAGAUACUAUAGAGCUAGGAGGCGGGAGAGGCAAGCGGUACUCGAUGGGUAGGGGUAAAAUCCGUUGAUCCAUUGAAGACCACCAGUGGCGAAGGCGGCUUGCCAGAACGCGCUCGGACGGUGAGGGAUGAAAGCUGGGGGAGCAAACCGGG